CAAUAGCGUAUAUUAAAGUUGUUGCGGUUAAAAAGCUCGUAGUUGGAUUUCUGUUGAGGACGACCGGUCCGCCCUCUGGGUGAGUAUCUGGCUCGGCCUUGGCAUCUUCUUGGAGAACGUAACUGCACUUGGCUGUGUGGUGCGGUAUCCAGGACUUUUACUUUGAGGAAAUUAAAGUGUUUCAAGCAGGCGUACGCCUUGAAUACAUUAGCAUGGAAUAAUGAGAUAGGACCUUGGUUCUAUUUUGUUGGUUCUAGAGCUGAGGUGGUGAUUAAUAGGGAUAGCUGGGGCAUUCGUAUUCAAUUGUCAGAAGUGAAAUUCUUGGAUUUAUUAAAGACGGACUACUGCGAAAGCAUGUGCCACGGAUGUUUUCAUUGAUCAAGAACGAAAGCUAGGGGAUCGAAGACGAUUAGAUACCA
rnacentral:rRNA from 1 species